UGAGUAAUCUGCCCUUCUCAUCGGAAUAAGCGUUGGAAACGACGUCUAAUGCCGAAUAUGACCUCCUUACACAUGAUCGGAGGUGGAAAGCUCCGGCGGAGAAGGAUGAGCUCGCGGCCUAUCAGCUAGUUGGUGUGGGUAACGGCCCACCAAGGCGACGACGGGUAGCUGGUCCGAGAGGAUGACCAGCCACAUUGGGACUGAGACACGGCCCAGACUCCUAGGGAGG
rnacentral:rRNA from 1 species